rnacentral:rRNA from 1 species
AUUGAACGCUGGCGGCAUGCUUUACACAUGCAAGUCGAACGGCAGCGCGGGCUUCGGCCUGGCGGCGAGUGGCGAACGGGUGAGUAAUGCAUCGGAACGUGCCCAGUAGUGGGGGAUAGCCCGGCGAAAGCCGGAUUAAUACCGCAUACGACCUGAGGGUGAAAGCGGGGGACCGAAAGGCCUCGCGCUAUUGGAGCGGCCGAUGUCGGAUUAGCUAGUUGGUGGGGUAAAGGCUUACCAAGGCGACGAUCCGUAGCUGGUCUGAGAGGACGACCAGCCACACUGGGACUGAGACACGGCCCAGACUCCUACGGGAGGGCGCAGUGGGGAAUUUUGGACAAUGGGGGCAAACCUGAUCCAGCCAUGCCGCGUGCGGGAAGAAGGCCUUCGGGUUGUAAACCGCUUUUGUUCGGGAAGAAAUCCUCUGGGCUAAUACCCCGGGGGGAUGACGGUACCGGAAGAAUAAGCACCGGCUAACUACGUG